UUUGCAAAUCAAUGUAAUGAGAAUUUAAACAUAACUAAAUAGUCUAAACUUUAAAUAAUAUUGUCAUAUUCAUAAAGUCAGAAAUAUAACAUUUAAUUCUAAACCCAUAACAAUAAUUUCAUCACCUUUAACCCAGUUUCACCAACAUCUGCUCAAGAGUGCACCUCGCCACAUCAUCGACCUUGCCAAUGCUAACCCGCAACCUACUUACUUGAGAAAAAGUAAGAGAGGAGUGAGUGAGUUCCUUGUGAACUCAGUGAAUAAUCAGAAACGUUAUGAUAUGUUUUAGAAAUAGAUUAUUUUUAAAAAAAUAAAAAGAAAAUUUAACCUUGAAAACAUUUCACGUGUUGGGUUUGCAGGUGAGGUUACGAGACCCGGUUCGCACAUUUUGUCAAAAAACAUAACCUUGGAAAAAAAUUUUUGAAAACUUAUUAGCCUUUUCUUAAAACAUACUAGGCAGGGCUCACCUUAAAAUCGUGAGGCCAAUUUCAUUUAUCAAAAAGUUUUAAAAACCAAGUCUCGGCUCGUCCUAAAAUUGCGAAGCCAGCUUGCACUUUUCAGAAAAACCUUUUCUUUAGAUAGGGUCUGCCUUAGCUCGCAAGACCAAUUCACACUUAAUAGCAGAUUUUGCCUUAGGUCACAACACCGACUCGUCACAUUGUCUUGUUGGAUAGAAUCCAACUGAACUCGCAGAGGAGCAUACACUUUGAUACAUAUCACACUAGCUCGUGUAAAGCUGGGCUCACUGAGGAGCAUCAUCACUUACGAUCAGAGUCUAUCUUACAAUACUAGUUCCUCACUUUUUCUCAUUGGAUAUAAUCCAAUCUAGCUCACAAAGGAGCAUUCACUUUGAGACAAAUCACAUUAGCUCACAUAUAGAACUAGGCUCACUGAGGAGCACAAUCACUUAAGUUCACAUGAAGAGCUUCGCUAAUACAUAGUUUGUUAAGCUCACGUAGGGAGCUUCGUUGAUACACAACUUGUAAAACCAUUUCUGUAAACAUUCUUUAAAACCUUAUCUUGAAUAGGAGCUCGCACAAAACUAUGCUUUAAAAAAUCAUAUUUUCAAACCAUGCUUGAAAAUAGAGGUUUGUAGCUUUAAAACAUAUAUUUUUAGAAAACUUACCUUUGAAAUUUGUUUCAAAAACAUAAUUCUUAAAGAAACAUAUCAGUAUAAAAUGAACAAUAUCUUAGUUAACAUACUCCAAAAAUUCUAGACCACUCACCGGAAAAUAGAGAAACUAAAACAAGUUUAGUUUUGUCUUUAUCCUUACUAGAAGACGGUCUAGCUGGUUUGCAACAAACAUACACACAUAUUACUUAAGCAGAACAAGACAUACAGAAUUCAUACAAUAUGAACUUUGACAAUCACACUCAAUAAGACAGAGGCUUACCCUGAUAACUACGAACUGAACUUGGAAUAAAGACUUUGACGAUAGAAUAUUCAGUGAAGAUUUCACAUAAUUAAGGGUCGUAUAUAUAGACUUAAGAGUACUAAUAAUAUUUGGAUACCUUACUUGACUUAGGAAAGUUACUACUUGCAUGUAAAGUCUUCUUAGAUACACUAAAUCUUUAUUUCCUAAUUUCAGUCUAAUUGUAUCUUUGACUGAUGAACCUUGGUUUGCAAUAAGACUGGCAAUCCCCUAUUCGUAACAAGACUGACGAACACCAACUCACCAUCACAUUAACGAACCUACUCAUAGAGAAACUGACGAACCCAACUUGGUAAGGGAUCUAGUGAACCCCUUACCACAUCUUCAGGUACACACUGCUACUGGCGAACCCCCUCGCUAAUACACUUUUGGUGAACCCCCAGCUCACCUAAACCUUGGCUAACACCUACUUCGCCAGAACACUGGUGAACCCUUCACUUGCGAGGCCAAAAUUUCCAGGCCCAUCUACGGAGUGUUACAUUCAUUCUCAUCCAAAAAUGAAUAUUUCAGAUCACAUGGUAGUUUUUUCAAAUCAAGCUUAGGUGGUUGAUCAAAUGAUGGUUUCGAAACAUUUGUAGUCACUGAAAGUUCAUCAAAUUUGUCUCCAAUAAAAGUUAUUUUCUUGUCCCUAGAAAGAAUUUAACUCAGGAUCAAUGCAUGAAAUUUUUUUUUGUCAUCAAUUUUAAAUUCAGUUAAAUAAUUUUCCAAAUGAUUGAAUUGCUAGAUAAAAAAUCUAGUUCAGAACAUUUUUUUUGCACAACAAAAAAUAAAAAUUUUGAAAACUGAGUUGGUUUGUGAUAUUUAUGAAAUCAACUCUUUACCGAAACAAUACAUUUGUCUUUGGCUAGACGGAUUCUUUUCGUUCUUAGCUUUCAAUUGAACAACCUUCUCUACUAUUCUCAUACCACAAACUGCCUUGAGCGUGGGCUUGAACAUUUCAAAUCAAACAUAGAACCAGAAAUAGUUUUCUUUACUUUAAGUGUGAAAGUAAAAUUCUCUCAAUAGAAAUCGACAAAAUUGUUAUUUUGGAAACUAGAAUUAAUACUUAGAGAAUGAACUCCCACUAUUUUCGGACAGAAUAACAAUAUCUCAAAAAUCGUAUGAUUAGUGCUAUCAGUGCAUCUAUUUAUAAAGAGAAGAGGUAAAACCCUUGCUGAAUUGUUGAAGUCUAUUUCAAUAGAAAAACGUACUCAUAGUCUAAUUAAGUUUCGAAUUUUUUCCUAUUAAUUAUAAACUCAUUUAGUCACGAAGUAAUUCCACUAUAGUAUCAUGACUGAGCUAUCCCCAACAGCAUACCAUUACGAAAGCAACUUGAUUAGUGCUUGUCCAAUGAUCUUGUCAUAAGUGUACUCAUAUUUUAUCUCAUUAAUCUCUGUGAGAUAAUAUUCAUUCUCCCAAUAUGAUUAGUGCUUGUCCAAUGAUCUUGUCAUAAGUGUGCUCAUAUUUUAUCUCAUUAAUCUCUGUGAGAUAAUAUUCAUUCUCCCAAUAUUAUCCUAUUUUAUCUCACGGUGACCAUUACAUCUUCCUUCAUAAUAAGUUAAUUACUGUCAAAUAGUAAUCAAGUCAUUCAUCACAAAGAUGAACGACCCGUGGCCACAUUUAAUUUUCAACAACCAUGUAAGGCCAAUGAGAGGAUAUCAUUUACCUAUGUCUUAAGCUAUGAAUUCCACUAUUAUGAAUGACACUACAUACUACAGAAGUUGUACACCCAACACACCAGCUUUCGGUUCCUUAUCCAUUCGAACUUAGGCUUUUACUUACAUCAAAGUGUACGAGUCAUGCAUACAUAGUCCAUCAUCCACUCAGGAUUUAGGUAUGCAACACAAUGAACAUCACAAGUGAAUAAACCCAUAAACGAAUUCAUGAUCUAUUCUUUUUGGGUCCAGUCUAAUGUACUAUAAGUCUAGUCAGUCACAUCUAUACCUCUAUCUUCUAGGAGCCAUCCGUCUCGAUGCCCGACCAAACAUCUCCCAAUUGGACUUGAUAGGCGACAUAUUAGUCUUUCAAUUAGUUUGCCCGUUUCUGAUUAGACUAAGGACUUGUUUAGGUUCGUCUACUAAUAUAAUCUAUCUUUUCAUAUUUCGAUUAGACCAUGUAAUACCACUUAGUAUCAGUUAAACAUUAGGCAACCAAUGAGCAACAUUUGCUUCCAUUUUGCUUUGCGUACAAAACCCAUAUGGGAAUAAUUAUAGAAAUUAUUAAUGUAAUUCAUGAAUUAAUCUGUUUAAAAAUUACAAGUAUAUAUAAACAAAUAUACUACAGUUAAGGCACCAGAUCCAAUACACAAAAGUACACAAACAACUCUGUUGGCAUACUAACUAUAUACUAGCCUUUAUACCAUGUUUAGAUGGGCAUUACCAUUCAUGAACAUAUACACAUAUAAAUUGUGACAACCACAUUUCAAUUUUCAUAAUUCAUAAACCGUAGCUUGAUAUGAAACACAUUUUCAUCAUGUAAUCCAUAAGAAUAUCGUCAACCAUUCUCUUGACCAAUCUUACUAAACAUUUUACUUUUCAUGUAAGCAUCAUUUACCUUUCAUGAUUCAUAUUGUAUUCAUUCAAUUUAUUCACAAGCUCAUUUUCAUUCAUUAGUGCUUCCUUGUCAAGUAUAUCAAAUUCAUUAACUAUUUAGCAUAUUUCAUAACUAAUAAUACUUUUAAUAGACUAAUACAUACAAGUAUACAUAACUAACAACAAGGAUAGUAAAUUCCAUUAAAACCUACCUUUCAAAAUAAAAUUGAAAAGAGAUUCUUUCAAAGCUUUUACUCAAUAGUUUUUUUCUUUCCCUUUGCUUGCUCCACCUCUUUCUUACUCUUUUUCUAUUAAAACAUUAAAAUCACAUAAUCAAUAUUAUGAGUUUAACAUCUAAUGGUCACUUAAUGAUCAUUUAAACAAAUGGUAAUGUCAUGAGAUGCAAAGCUUCAUUAAAAUCUUUUGAACCCUAAUGUUUGAAAUUCCUAUAACUUGAGUUUUCUUCGAUUGAAUUUUAAUCCGAUUUUAUAAAUAAAACCUAGGGUCUAAGCUAUACUAAAAUAUAAUUUUUUCUCAAAGUUCCAACUUUUCUCCCAUUAAGUACUUAACAUCCAUCCAUGGCCACUUAACCAUUCCUUGGUAAAAAGUUGUUCCCAUCAUAACCCAUUAACAUACAAACUCAUAUUCAUCAUCAUCAAGCUACAUUAAACAUCAAAUAUCAAAUUUCUCUCUCUAGUUUCCUUAACCUUUAACAAUGACAACCACACACAAUACUCAUCAAUCUAUCAUUCGAACUAAUGGGCUCGUCUUACUCAUGAUAUUUAACUAAAAAUUAAGGAAAAAAAAGCUUCCUUACCUAUGGAGAUGGCUCACGACAUGCAAGAACUUAGAAACUUUACUUUGUUUUCUUCUGCAAACGGUGAGGAAGAAGAAGGUAAGUGAAUUUUCUCUCCCACUUACUCAAGUUUAUACAUAUAUUCAUAUGUACAUAAAUAU
rnacentral:lncRNA from 1 species